rnacentral:rRNA from 1 species
GAUGAACGCUGGCGGCGUGCCUAAUACAUGCAAGUCGAGCGAACAGACGAGGAGCUUGCUCCUCUGACGUUAGCGGCGGACGGGUGAGUAACACGUGGAUAACCUACCUAUAAGACUGGGAUAACUUCGGGAAACCGGAGCUAAUACCGGAUAAUAUAUUGAACCACAUGGUUCAAUAGUGAAAGACGGUUUUGCUGUCACUUAUAGAUGGAUCCGCGCCGCAUUAGCUAGUUGGUAAGGUAACGGCUUACCACGGCAACGAUGCGUAGCCGACCUGAGAGGGUGAUUGGCCACACUGGAAGUGAGACACGGUCCAGACACCUACGGGAGGCAGCAGUAGGGAAUCUUCCGCAAUGGGCGAAAGCUUGACGGAGCAACGCCGCGUGAGUGAUGAAGGUCUUCGGAUCGUAAAACUCUGUUAUUAGGGAAGAACAAAUGUGUAAGUAACUAUGCACGUCUUGACGGUACCUAAUCAGAAAGCCACGGCUAACUACGUG